rnacentral:rRNA from 1 species
AGCGAACGCUGGCGGCAGGCUUAACACAUGCAAGUCGAGCGGGCCCUUCGGGGUCAGCGGCAGACGGGUGAGUAACACGUGGGAACGUACCCUUUGGUUCGGAAUAACGCUGGGAAACUAGCGCUAAUACCGGAUACGCCCUUUUGGGGAAAGGCUUGCUGCCGCAGGAUCGGCCCGCGUCUGAUUAGCUAGUUGGUGGGGUAAUGGCCUACCAAGGCGACGAUCAGUAGCUGGUCUGAGAGGAUGAUCAGCCACACUGGGACUGAGACACGGCCCAGACUCCUACGGGAGGCAGCAGUGGGGAAUAUUGGACAAUGGGCGCAAGCCUGAUCCAGCCAUGCCGCGUGAGUGAUGAAGGCCUUAGGGUUGUAAAGCUCUUUUGUCCGGGACGAUAAUGACGGUACCGGAAGAAUAAGCCCCGGCUAACUUCGUG